CGAUCUGUAAAGCUAGUUCUCUGCAAGGACUCGGGAGGCUGAGGCAGGAGAAUUGCUUCAACUCAGGAGGUGGAAGUUGUAGUGAGCCAAGAUCAUGCCACUGCACUCCAGUCUGGGCGACAGAGUGGGACCCUGUCUCAAUGAAAUAAAAUAAGAUAAACAUGAGAACAAUAGAAAACUGAAGGACAACAAAAGGAGGUUAAGGUUUCCACCCACCUCCCUGAAAUCUGAUUUGGACCCCCAGGAGGCCAGAAGAGUAUAAAAACGCAAAAGAUGUUGACUUCUGAGUCCCACAUACCCGGCGUCAGCUGGUGAAUGAAAGACACGAAGGAGCUGCUGUGGAGCUGCUGUCUCCCCUCGGAGUUUGGCAGG
rnacentral:lncRNA from 10 species